GAAAACAAGAUGUAAUUUUGGGACAUGUAGUCAGGUGAAGAGGUUGUACUCAUUUUCUUCUCCUCCUAACUAAAAUCACACCUGUCCCAUGAACAAGCCUCCUCUGCAUGACUCCGGAACACUCCAGCACUGGUGACUAUGGACAUCUACCAUACGUUUGACAGAAUGCUAAGCACGGCACAGUCAUCACAUUCAAGGUUCCCUGCAACCUGUGAGGCACAUGCAAAUGGAAUAAUAUUCUCUCCACUGAACAUUGCUGCUUCCUGGACCUUCUAAAGCUCAAGCCAAACUCCUCUUUUUGUUUUUAAGAGACAUUGCCUCACACAAAGAAUAUAUUAAACAUUGAUCUUGAGCAAGAGCAUUCAAGAGCAAAUUGGGAUCCAGGCUAUUUUCAGCUGGGACAACCAUUUCCUUCCAGCUUCACUUGAAGAUCAGAUGUUUGACUCUUCCAGGAAUCAAGGUGAAGAAGGAUAAACAUGCAAGUUUGAAGAAAAAGAAAAAAAGCAACCCAACUUGUGUUUUCUCUGUCCUGAGCCCUAGAAUGGUGGAGAGGGGAAGGUAUGAAGAGCUUCAAUCAUCUCUUGUGAUGGAGGAAAAGGAGAACUUCAUCCUUUCUUUGUCUUCAGAGAAUAUCUCUUAACAAUUUACUACUCGUGUGGAAAUAAGAUCAGGAAGUCUUUACAAGUUCUGAAUGAUAAAAUAACUGCUCAUUUCACACUGAGUCUGCCUGCUAUGAGAAGGAAGAAUACAAAUGAGAAUGAGGAGGUGAAGGAGCCAAAGUCAUCCAUGUCUUGGACUUUAGACCUCAA
rnacentral:lncRNA from 12 species